AGAAAACAAAAUAGCACUUUGAUUGACAAGCCAACCCACGAAUGCAAGCAAUGAGUAACGGAUGGAAGCAGCCAAUGAAACGUCUCUGGAACAAACAGAGGAUGAAUGAUAGCUAUGCCCCUGAUGUGUCGUUGGGGCUUUGAGUGAUAAUCAUCUAGGGGUGAGUUGUGGUUGCAGCAGCCUUCAGGAAUCCUUAUUCCAGGAAUGGAAACAACGGAGAACCUUCAUCAGAGAACCUAUGGGUGAACAUGGGGUCAAACAGAAACAGGCUUAAUCAUUCUGGGAAAGGUAAAAGAGGGCUUACAAGUGCAGAACUCCUCCCCCCUCCCCCAUCACACACACACACCCUGCAGCAAACA